UUAAAAGUCAGGCUAUGCGCCUGAUUUUGGAGGGCAGCUCCAGGGCCAGGAGUACUUAUUUCUUAAAAAAAAACAUUCUUAAAGGAGCCAGUGCCAUCUUCGGGCCCUACUUGCUGGGAGAGUGCCACUGGACCCUCUUUCAUUGCAACUUGAAAGAGGGAACGAUUACCUACAUCGA